rnacentral:rRNA from 1 species
CCUGACGGAGCAAUACCGCGUGAGGGAUGAAAGCCUGUGGGUUGUAAACCUCUUUUSUCAAGGAAGAAGWUSUGACGGYACUUGAGGAAUAAGCAUCGGCUAACUCUGUGCCAGCAGCCGCGGUAAUACAGAGGAUGCAAGCGUUAUCCGGAAUCACUGGGCAUAAAGCGUCUGUAGGUUGCCUACCAAGUCUGCUGUUAAAGAUCAGGGCCUAACCCUGGGAAAGCAGUGGAAACUAGUAGGCUUGAGUGWGGUAGAGGUAGAGGGAAUUCCUGGUGUAGCGGWGAAAUGCGUAGAUAUUAGGAAGAACACCARUGGCGAAAGCACUCUACUGGGCCAUAACUGACACUGAKAGACGACAGCUAGGGGAGCAAAUGGGAUUAGAUACCCCAG